rnacentral:rRNA from 1 species
GAUGAACGCUAGCUACAGGCUUAACACAUGCAAGUCGAGGGGAAACGACAUCGCAAGCUUGCUUUUGAUGGGCGUCGACCGGCGCACGGGUGAGUAACGCGUAUCCAACCUGCCCAUCACUUGGGAAUAACCUUGCGAAAGUAAGACUAAUACCCAAUGAUAUCCCACGAAGGCAUCGGAAUGGGAUUAAAGAUUUAUCGGUGAUGGAUGGGGAUGCGUCUGAUUAGCUUGUUGGCGGGGUAACGGCCCACCAAGGCAACGAUCAGUAGGGGUUCUGAGAGGAAGGUCCCCCACAUUGGAACUGAGACACGGUCCAAACUCCUACGGGAGGCAGCAGUGAGGAAUAUUGGUCAAUGGGCGAGAGCCUGAACCAGCCAAGUAGCGUGCAGGAAGACGGCCCUAGGGGUGGUAAACUGCUUUUAUAAGGGAAUAAAGUGGGUCACGUGUGACUUUUUGCAUGUACCUGAUGAAUAAGGACCGGCUAAUUCCGUG